GUAGAGGGGGGUAGAAUUCCAGGUGUAGCGGUGAAAUGCGUAGAGAUCUGGAGGAAUACCGGUGGCGAAGGCGGCCCCCUGGACGAAGACUGACGCUCAGGUGCGAAAGCGUGGGGAGCAAACAGGAUUAGAUACCCUGGUAGUCCACGCCGUAAACGAUGUCGACUUGGAGGUUGUUCCCUUGAGGAGUGGCUUCCGGAGCUAACGCGUUAAGUCGACCGCCUGGGGAGUACGGCCGCAAGGUUAAAACUCAAAUGAAUUGACGGGGGCCCGCACAAGCGGUGGAGCAUGUGGUUUAAUUCGAUGCAACGCGAAGAACCUUACCUACUCUUGACAUCCA
rnacentral:rRNA from 1 species